rnacentral:rRNA from 1 species
UACGUAGGGUCCGAGCGUUGUCCGGAAUUAUUGGGCGUAAAGAGCUCGUAGGCGUUUUGUCGCGUCUGCUGUGAAAUCCCGAGGCUCAACCUCGGGCCUGCAGUGGGUACGGGCAGACUGGAGUGCGGUAGGGGAGAAUGGAAUUCCUGGUGUAGCGGUGGAAUGCGCAGAUAUCAGGAGGAACACCGAUGGCGAAGGCAGUUCUCUGGGCCGUAACUGACGCUGAGGAGCGAAAGCGUGGGGAGCGAACAGG